rnacentral:rRNA from 1 species
GACGAACGCUGGCGGCGUGCCUAAUACAUGCAAGUUGAGCGCUGAAGGUUGGUACUUGUACCAACUGGAUGAGCAGCGAACGGGUGAGUAACGCGUGGGGAAUCUGCCUUUGAGCGGGGGACAACAUUUGGAAACGAAUGCUAAUACCGCAUAAAAACUUUAAACACAAGUUUUAAGUUUGAAAGAUGCAAUUGCAUCACUCAAAGAUGAUCCCGCGUUGUAUUAGCUAGUUGGUGAGGUAAAGGCUCACCAAGGCGAGGAUACAUAGCCGACCUGAGAGGGUGAGCAGCCACAUUGGGACUGAGACACGGCCCAAACUCCUACAGGAGGCAGCAGUAGGGAAUCUUCGGCAAUGGACGAAAGUCUGACCGAGCAAGGCGGCGUGAGUGAAGAAGGUUUUCGGGUGGGAAAACUCGGUUGGUAGGGAAGAACGUUGGUGAGAGUGGAAAGCUCAACAAGUGACGGUAACUACCCAGAAAGGGACGGCUAACUACGUG